GGCUUUCUGGGUUCGAUUUCUGGGUUCAAGGCUUAAAGGUCGGUGAUUCUUCAACCACGAAGCUUGGUGAUUCACUGAUUCUUCAAGCUCAAUUUCUGGGAAUUCUGGGUUCGAUUUCUGGGUUUAAGGCUUGAAGCUCGGUUCAACCUCGAAACUUGGUGAUUCUUCAUGCUUGAUUUCUGGGUUCAAAAUUCAAACUCGGUGAUUGACUGAUAGUUGAAGCUCGAUUUCUGAGUUUUGGAUUCUGCAAGCUCGGUGAUUUCUGGGUUUUGUGGUGAGUCAUUGUCUCAACUCUCAAAGUAUCAAACUGUGAUUCUGUGAAUGUUAUAAACUGUGAAUGUUAUCAAACUGUGAUCAGAGCAGAUGA
rnacentral:lncRNA from 1 species